AGGAGUCUUGACAGGGGGCCAAGGCCAGCCCCACACGCCACCUUCUGCUUGGCUGAAGUCCCCUCCUCCGUCUGGUGAGCCAGUGCAGAAGAGAAGAGUCAAAAGAUACUGUGGCCUGGCUUUGUUAGGGGGGGAUCGUGAACAUGGAUGAGGACAUGGAGUAACUUUAGGAGGCUGGCUCUCCCCAAGAGCUCUCCCCCAAGGACAACAUCUCCCAGCCUUGCCUUUCCCUGCCAGCUGACGAGAGUUACUCCUCAUCCCAGAGAUGAACAAGGUCAUCAGCCCUGAAGGAGCAUCUCGUACUUGGGAACACAAAGAGAAUACCAGAUCCCUCCCCGCUCAGAUACCUCAUCAUUCAGCCAGGCAGUGACAGGACGACAAGAGGGCAGGGUCAACUUGUGCCUUCAAGAGCACGUUCUAGAAAAAACUACAGGAUCUACACAUCAGCAAGGCUGCGGCACAAUCCCAACACCUCCCUGAUUUGUCCUUGGAAAUUGUCCGUCAGCACCUGUGUAUCAAAGCAGAAGCUGUAGCCCGUGUCGUUCUUGCCCUUGUUCCCACAUUGCUGCUGAUGCAAUGGGGCCUUGCCAAGUCCAACUGCAUCUCUUGCCAGGAUGUCAGGGUUUCUCUCGUGGUGUCAGAGAGGAGUGCAUGGUAUCAACAACCUGUUUGAUGCUGCAAAUCUUUGAUUUUUCUCAUCAGAGGGCCCCAGCUGGCUUCCCAAGUCUGAAAGCAGACAACAGAAAUCAAAGGUGAGAACGGCCAUGUGGUUACCAGCGUCUCAGCAGCUGUGCCGAGAGGCUCUGCCCCAAACCUCAGGCCUGUCCUCAGCCAGGCCUGUUCUGGAGCCCCUACAACUCCACAGGCCCCCACCCCCUCCAUCCCCUCCCUCUCUGGCCCCAGCAGGUAGAUGACAUGAUGAGGAGGGAAGGGCAGAGAGCCAACACUUUGUACAACAGCUCUAGUUUCCACUGUCAUCUCGAGAUAUGUAGAAUGAAAGUCCCUGUACAGUCAUGAAUGCGUAAUGCCUCAGUCACAGCCUCACAACCUUCCAUGCCUCAGUGAGGGAAAAGCAAUCCCACAGCUCCUUCGUGGCCACUGGGGCCUCACUCAGACCCAGCUCCUCAACAUGACAGAGGGUCGUAGUUUCAAAAAAAAGCCAGGGUGGUGGUUUGUUUCAACACCGUUUGCCAUGUUUGAGCAGAUGCACUUCAUCAAAGCUUCACUGGCCUGUGGGCUGCCUCCUGGCAGAUGGACAGCCCCUGCCCCCGGAGGCCAGGCAAUGACCUGUGGGGGUUACCUCCCUGUGCACCGAAAAUAUCCCGAUCAUUUCUACACUCUGCAGUUCGUGCCAAAGUAGGUGCACACCUUCCCUGAGUUUGUAUGUGUUGAUUAAUUAAGCAGCGAGGGUUCCUCACAACCUGGUAAGAUUUUAAAAAAAAAAAAAAAAAAAGGUCUUUCAUUUCAGUUUUUUUGUUGUUAUUUUUUGCCUUUUUAGUCUUCUUGGCAUGAACCCAGGUGCCUCUUGGUAGCUGUUGUGUUGUCUCCAAGACGACAACCUCUGCAAAAAAAUAUCUGUAUUUCACAGAGGAUGGGUCUUACCCUGUUCUCUCUUUCUCCACCCCAUUUAAGAAAAUUCCAGAGUUUGGCUAGCACUGUGACAGCCUGUCAGAGAAAAAAUAUUUGGCCAGAAGCUAUAAAUAGCUACCUUCUGCUGAUGUAUUAUAACAGUGAUGGUUAUAGCAGUGGGGAGCAGGUCUGGGUAAGAUCCUCACUGGGCAAGGUGUCUGAUACUUCCUCUCAGCCUCCUUCAGAAAUCUCCCACAGUAGUGGUUCAAAAUUGGGGCCAUUUCUGCCCCCAAGAAACACUGACAGUGUCUGCAGAUAUUUUUGGUGUUCACAACUGGGGAGGUGGGAGAGUGCUACUGGAAUCUAGUGGGUAGAGGCCAGGGAGGCUCCUAAACAUCCUACAAUGCACAGGAUAGCCCCCCACAUCAAAAAAUGAUCCUUGUGCCAAUACAGAAAUCAUGAUGGUAUUUGCUAAGAGUUGGUGAUGGACAGGGAAGCCUGAUGUGCUGCAGUCCAUGGGGUCACAAAGGUUGGACACGACUGAGCAACGGAACUAAACUGAAGUCACCCCCACUCUUAUAUGACAUUCCAAGUAAUCUGUGGCAUAUACAGACAAACUUAGGAUGGAGGAAAAGUCACCCUUCUUCAAUUCACUCAACGUCAUUAAAAUGUAUCAAACAUGUUUACCUGUGUAAGGGCCUGCAGACAGGAUUGCGUCUUUGCCCUCCAGAGGUCUGAUGUCAGCAGUGAAGCUGCCAGUGGUGGUGAGAGCCCCUCACAUGAAGGGCUGGAAAACUGAGAGGGAGAGACAAACUCCCUGUGACCUGGAGGUCCUCUGAAAGGAGAAUUCAUACUAUAAAUAUGGACAAGGAAACCUCUGCCCUCAAAGUGGGAGGAGAAAACGCUGAAGGCUUGGGAAGAACUGAGCAAAGACUGAGGCCUGCCUGGUGGGAGAAGACCUGAAGUCAAGCUGGGGGCUCUGGCAUGGGCUGUGCAGAGCUUUGCGACAGAGAAUGAGGCCAACCUUCUUUUUGUUGCAUUUACUUUUUUUGGAAUAACAGGCCACAUGUUUCAGAUUUUCAUAGCUUUCCCUUUGUUUGCUAUGGUAACAUUACUAUUCAGUUGAGAAUCUUGCCAUUUUAUGCAGUAUUUAAAGGGGAAAAGGGUUUUUGCCUGAAAUGUAAAUUAUCAAGUUCCUCCUGGGGCCAGAACUAAAUAAGAUUCUGUACUUGGUUCAGUCAC